GAUGAAGAACGUAGCGAAAUGCGCUAAGUAAUGUGAAUUGCAGAAUUCAGUGAAUCAUCGAAUCUUUGAAUGCACCUUGCACCCUUUGGCAUUCUGAAGGGUAUGCUCGUUUGAGUGUCAUUGUACUCUCACACUCCCGAUCUUUGCAUUGGGAGCAGUGGACUUGGGUUUGCUGCUUCACCGUCGCUUACCUCAAAUAGGUUAGUGCACCUCUUGGUUGGACAUAGUACGGCGUGAUAAGUGUUCUUCGCCGGUGCCUCGCAAAGAGGGUGGCCGAUCGGGAUGUUUGUGCUCCAAACCGUCUUCGGACAAUCUCUGACGACUUGACCUCAAAUCGAGUAAGACUACCCGCUGAACUUAAGCAUAUCAAUAAGCGGAGGA
rnacentral:misc_RNA from 1 species